CCUGGCUCCAGUGUCUGGAUCCCACAACGUUAGGGUUCUUGCAGGCAGAGGUUUUGCACAGACUCUGCCACUCUCGGGCUCUGCCACACUGGGAUCCUAGAUGUCUCUGCUUUCAGGGUCCAGGUCGGGGAUCGGCUGGAGACCGUGUUUCUCCUGAGCGGGAAUGACCCGGCCAUUCAUCUCUACAAGGAGAACGAGGGGCUGCACCAGUUUGAGGAACAACCCGUGGAAAAUCUCUUCCCGGAGCUCACCAACCUGACCAGCAGUGUCCUCUGGCUGGACGUCCACAACCUCCCCGGCACAUCCCGGCGACUGUCAGCCCUCGGCUGUCAGAGUGGUUACGUCCGCGUAGCCCAUGUGGACCAGC